GACGGCGGCACGGGUGGAGUAACGACGUGGAGUGAUCUACCCAUGAGUUAGGAAUAACGGCUGGAAACGGUCGCUAAUACCAAAUACGCUCCGAUUUCAACUUCGGGGGAAAGGUGGCCUCUGCUUGCAAGCUACUGCUCAUGGAUGAGUCCGCGUCCCAUUAGCUAGUUGGUGGGGUAACGGCCCACCAAGGCGACGAUGGGUAGCCGGUCUGAGAGGAUGACCGGCCACACUGGGACUGGAACACGGCCCAGACUCCUACGGGAGGCAGCAGUGGGGAAUAUUGCGCAAUGGGCGAAAGCCUGACGCAGCGACGCCGCGUGAGGGAUGAAGGUCCUCGGAUCGUAAACCUCUGUCAGGAGGGAAGAACCGCCACGGUGCUAAUCAGCCGUGGUCUGACGGUACCUCCAAAGGAAGCACCGGCUAACUCCGUGCCAGCCGCUGC
rnacentral:rRNA from 1 species